rnacentral:rRNA from 1 species
UACGUAGGGUCCAAGCGUUAUCCGGAAUCACUGGGCGUAAAGCGUGCGUAGGUGGAUGUUUAAGUGUGAUGUUAAAUCGUGUGGCUCAACCAUAUCGAUGCAUCGCAUACUGGACGUCUAGAGGACAGCAGAGGCAAGUGGAAUUGGUAGUGUAGCAGUGAAAUGCGUAGAUAUUACCAGGAACACCAAUGGCGAAGGCAGCUUGCUGGGCUACUCCUGACACUGAGGUACGAAAGCGUGGGGAGCGAACAGG